UACGAAGGGUGCAAGCGUUACUCGGAAUUACUGGGCGUAAAGCGUGCGUAGGCGGCCCGGUAAGUCCGCUGUAAAAGUCAAAGGCUCAACCUUUGAAUGUCAGUGGAUACUGCCGGGCUAGAGUCCGGAAGAGGCGAGUGGAACUCCUGGUGUAGCGGUGGAAUGCGCAGAUAUCAGGAAGAACACCAACGGCGAAGGCAGCUCGCUGGGACGGUACUGACGCUGAGACGCGAAAGCGUGGGGAGCGAACAGG
rnacentral:rRNA from 1 species